CUGACCAAACUGAACAGAAAAAAAUAUCUCAUCUUAAACUUCUUGUUUUACCAAAUCACAAACAGUUAAUCCAGCAUAAAAACCCUAAAUUCCCAACUUUCAUCUUAGAGGAGAGUGAAGAUUAAAAACCCUAAUCAAUUUGAAAUCUGAUGACUCUGUCGUUUCUCUUGAUUUUACUCAGAGAUGAAUGAUCUAUUGUCUAUUGACGUGGCUGGUCCAAAAGUUGUCGCUGUCCAGAUCUGUUCUCCCGAGUCCUCUCUUCAUCACCAAGCUUUUGUUACCUCUUGUUCCAUCUCAGCCAUGGAUGUAGCCAUGAAGUCGACCAAAUCUGAACUCCUCUGCGGUCAUUGAAGCCAAAUUCGGUAAGUUCCGUGCUGACUCGAUUUACCAAUCAAUCCAAUUCAUGUCGAAGAUGUCGGGUAUCGAAGGCCAGAUCCUUGAGGUCACUGUGGUUGGGUGUCAAAAAUUGAAAGACAUAGACUGGUUCUCAAGGCAAAAUCCAUAUGUUGUCCUCGAGUAUAGCAACACCACCGUACCGAACCUCCACAGAUGGUGGAAAGAACCCAAUGUUUCAAGAGAAUUUUUUGUUCACUUUGCUUGAAGGCCUUAGGAGACCUUAAAGAAUGCUACAAUUCAGUUGCAGAAGGUUCUUUCUCAGGGAUACAAAGACUGUACCUGGACUCUAUAUGUUAAAACUGGCAGGUAACAGCCUUGGUUUCCCUAGUUUGGCUUCCUUUUGCUUUGAGUAUUUAUGUUUGUAACAUAGUUCCAUCGUCUGUAUUUGUAUAUCCUAUGUUGCACCGAGACGGAUACGGGGACAGAAACGGGGACGGAAUCGGGGACGGGAAACAGCAAAACUAAAAAUGGUUGGUCGUCUAUAAGAGCAACUCCAAUCAGACUGCAUAACAUCAUAGUGGCGUGGAAAAUGGUGUUUUCUCUCUCCAUUCUGACGUCAUAAAAAACUGCAUUUUGGCGGGAUUCUUUUUUUGACUAUAAUAUUACACCAUAUAUGGCAUGCAACUUUAGCAACGCCAAAACCCUUUUCUUUUUUUUUCUUCUUUUUUUUAAAUAACAAAUAGAACAAUAUUCAUUUGAAGCUUAUUUAAUUAUGUUUAAUUAUA